rnacentral:rRNA from 1 species
GACGAACGCUGGCGGCGUGCUUAACACAUGCAAGUCGAACGGAAAGGCCCUGCUUUUGUGGGGUUCUCGAGUGGCGAACGGGUGAGUAACACGUGAGUAACCUGCCCUUGACUUUGGGAUAACUUCAGGAAACUGGGGCUAAUACCGGAUAGGAGCUCCUGCUGCAUGGUGGGGGUUGGAAAGUUUCGGCGGUUGGGGAUGGACUCGCGGCUUAUCAGCUUGUUGGUGGGGUAGUGGCUUACCAAGGUUUUGACGGGUAGCCGGCCUGAGAGGGUGACCGGCCACAUGAGGACUGAGAGACGGACCAGACUCCUACGGGAGGCAGCAGUGGGGAAUAUUGCACAGUGGGCGGAAGUGUGAGGCAGCAACGCCGCGUGCGGGAUGCCGGCCUUCGGGUUGUAAACAGCUUUCGCCUGUGACGAAGCGUGAGUGACGGUAAUGGGUAAAGAAGCACCGGCUAACUACGUG